rnacentral:rRNA from 1 species
GUGCCAGCAGCCGCGGUAAUACCGGCAGCUCAAGUGAUGUCCCAUAUUAUUGGGCCUAAAGCGUCCGUAGCCGGCCAGACAAGUUUGUUGGGAAAUCCACGUGCUCAACACGUGGGCGUCCAGCGAAAACUGUCUGGCUUGGGGCCGGAAGACUCGAGGGGUACGUCCGGGGUAGGAGUGAAAUCCCGUAAUCCUGGACGGACCGCCGGUGGCGAAAGCGCCUCGAGAGGACGGACCCGACGGUGAGGGACGAAAGCCAGGGUCUCGAACCGGAUUAGAAACCCGUGUAGUCC